rnacentral:rRNA from 1 species
CGGAGGCAGCAGUGGGGAAUUUUCCACAAUGGACGAAAGCCUGAUGGAGCAACGCCGCGUGCAGGAUGAAGGCCUUCGGGUCGUAAACUGCUUUUAUGAGUGAUGAUUAAGACAGUAGCUCAAGAAUAAGGGUCGGCUAACUACGUGCCAGCAGCCGCGGUCAUACGUAGGACCCAAGCGUUAUCCGGAAUUACUGGGCGUAAAGAGUUGCGUAGGCGGCUUGUUAAGUUGGUAGUGAAAUCGUGCGGCUCAACCGCAUAAACAUUACUAAAACUGGCAAGCUAGAGAGUGAGAGAGGUUAUUGGAAUUCCAAGUGUAGGAGUGAAAUCCGUAGAUAUUUGGAGGAACACCGAUGGCGUAGGCAGAUAACUGGCUCAUUUCUGACGCUCAGGCACGAGAGCGUGGGGAGCAAACGGGAUUAGAUACCCCAGUA